rnacentral:lncRNA from 13 species
AUGCUGGUGGGAAAACCCGACGUUGCCCAUCAAGGAAUCUUAGUGCACUCAGGAGUUAUUGAUGCUGACUUUAAAGGUCAGAUUUGCGCUAUGGUCUCCAUGCAAAAACCCCCUGUAGCUAUUCCUGAAAAGACCUGCCUUGCUAAAUUAGUGCCUUUUAAGUCUUGUGUCCCCAGGAUAGAGCAACAAACUCACGAAGAUAACGGCAGUGGAUCUACGGGACUUCCGCAGGCCUUCUGGACUGCAGACAUCUCUGACCAAAGGCCACAGAUGACAUGUACCCUGAUCCUGCCGAACGCCCGUCCGCCCCGGACUCAGCUUCGAGAUACUGGGGUACGGUGGCUACCUGCAAAAUGCGUUUGCCCUGACCUAUGGCACCAGAGGCAGAACAGGCAACCUCCAAAUGAUGACCAGAACGCCAACCAUCCAAAUGGCAACCAGAACGUAGAUCAUCAGCCUAAUGACUCUUCUGAUGAUGACCAAGAUGUCGACCAUCAGGCAAAUGGUCCUUCUACAGGACCAGAGAAGAGACUGGGAUGGUCCUUCCACAAGCAGAGACUGAAUUUUAAAUUUCUUGUUAUGGAGUCAGAUAGUUAAAGCCUUAAGGACAUAUUUAGAAUUAAUAACUGAUGUAAAUUUCUAUUUAGGAUUAAUAGUAGAGUUGUUAUCUUAUAAAACAAAAAGGGGGAAUUGUAGGUACAAAAAUGCUGUUAGUGAGGAUCUUCUUGUUAUUUUUCUAAGUCCGUGAGAGACUUUUCUCUCUCACAGAAGAGGUAGCAGGGAAUGUAAACAACCAAGCCACCUGCAACCUUGGAAAGUCUUGUUUAUGGUAUAGUAGAAAAUAUUUUGAUAAUGGAUGUUUUAGGAUUUUGGCCAAUCACCCCCAAGGGGUGGCUGGUCCUUUGUCCAAUUAGACUAUGAAGAAAAAAGUCUAUAAAAGAGUUUGUAAAAUAAUUAAAUAGAUCAAUCUUGCUGCACAAUUCCUGCCUGCUGGAUCUUCUCUCCUCCUCCUCCCUAUGGCUGCAGGACAUGGUGAUAUACCCUAGGGCCCAGGCCUGCGGUAA